GCGUUAUCCGGAAUCAUUGGGUUUAAAGGGUCCGUAGGUGGAUAAUUAAGUCAGAGGUGAAAUCCUACAGCUCAACUGUAAAAUUGCCUUUGAUACUGGAAAACUUGAGUUAUUAUGAAGUAGUUAGAAUAUGUAGUGUAGCGGUGAAAUGCAUAGAUAUUACAUAGAAUACCAAUUGCGAAGGCAGAUUACUAAUAAUCAACUGACACUGAUGGACGAAAGCGUGGGUAGCGAACAGGAUUAGAUACCCUGGUAGUCCACGCCGUAAACGAUGGUUACUAGCUGUUCGUCUAACAUUGGUUAGAUGAGUGGCUAAGCGAAAGUGAUAAGUAUCCCACCUGGGGAGUACGGUCGCAAGACUGAAACUCAAAGGAAUUGACGGGGGCCCGCACAAGCGGUGGAGCAUGUGGUUUAAUUCGAUGAUACGCGAGGAACCUUACCAGGGCUUAAAUGUAGUGGGACAGGUCUAGAGAUAGACCCUUCUUCGGACUCAUUACAAGGUGCUGCAUGGUU
rnacentral:rRNA from 1 species